rnacentral:lncRNA from 1 species
UGAGAAUGUCCUAUUUAACUAGCUUUUAGCCCUCUAAACUGGGUCGUUUUUGUAGUAAAUUCAAUUUAGCUUUGUUUGUCAAAUUUGUCUGGGGGUGCAUAAAAAUGCAGAAAAGCUCCAUUGUCUAUUGAAACGGUGUCAAAUGAUAGCUCUAGUCACACUGGAACAGACCAUGUGUGCUACAUUACUGAGAAUGUCCUAUUUAACUAGCUUUUAGCCCUCUAAACUGGGUUGUUUUUGUAGUAAAUUCAAUUUAGCUUUCUUUGUCAAAUUUGUCUGGGGGUGCAUAAAAAUCGCAGAAAAGCUCCAUUGUCUAUUGAAACGGUGUCAAAUGAUAGCUCUAGUCAAACUGGAACAGACCAUGUGUGCUACAUUACUGAGAAUGUCCAAUUUAACUAGCUUUUAGCCCUCUAAACUGGGUCGUUUUUGUAGUAAAUUCAAUUUAGCUUUCUUUGUCAAAUUUGUCUGGGGGUGCAUAAAAAAAAAAUCACAGAAAAGCUCCAUUGUCUAUUGAAACGGUGUCAAAUG